rnacentral:rRNA from 1 species
UACGUAGGGUGCGAGCGUUAAUCGGAAUUACUGGGCGUAAAGCGUGCGCAGGCGGCGCGUUAAGACAGGUGUGAAAGCCCCGAGCUUAACUUGGGAAUUGCGCUUGUGACUGGCGAGCUGGAGUGUGGCAGAGGGAGGUGGAGUUCCACGUGUAGCAGUGAAAUGCGUAGAGAUGUGGAGGAACACCGAUGGCGAAGGCAGCCUCCUGGGCCAGCACUGACGCUCAUGCACGAAAGCGUGGGGAGCAAACAGG